CGGAUUGCAGGCUGNAACCCGCCUGCAUGAAGCCGGAAUCGCUAGUAAUCGCGGAUCAGAAUGCCGCGGUGAAUACGUUCCCGGGUCUUGUACACACCGCCCGUCACACCAUGGGAGUCGGGAAUGCCCGAAGUCAGUGGCCCAACCGGAAGGGGGGAGCUGCCGAAGGCAGGCCCGGUGACUGGGGUGAAGUCGUAACAAGGUAUC
rnacentral:rRNA from 1 species